AGGAGCCGGCCGCUGCCGCGCCCGGGCCGGCCCUGGGGAGCCACGGAAGGCUACGGAGCAGCUGAGGAGGUCCGGGCCGAGGACCUUUGGCUGCUUCUGUUCGCCGACCUGGCAGCUGCCCCAGCUCGGCUUCCUGUGUGCUGCAGCGGGUCGGUAGAACUCAGACUGGAAAGAAAGGGUGCUGGUUACCCUUCUUAUCCUUAUCAUGGCGAUAAGGUUCUGUGGAGAGGGUGAAAUUAAAGGCUGCUCAAAAUAGAAAAGUUGGAAGUUUUACCCUAAGCCGGAAAAUGCUACAGAUGAACCAAAUGUUUUCUUAUAUUAAAAGCAUUGCACAGCAUCUAAAUAGUCCACUGACCUCAUGAUGGGAGUCAGAGGUUAGAAAAAUAACAGUGUUUGAAACAUGUUUAUUUCUAUCAUAAUUUUAUUAGAUAUGAGAAAUGUUUAGAUAUAAGGGCUUCUUGCAUAAAUCAAGAAGCAAGUCUUCAGAAAAAAUCAUAGAAAAGAAGAAAACUAGAGACAAGCUUCAGGUAUUUCAUUAAAAUGCUUUCACAGUGACUUUUCUUGGCCCUAGUAUUUGAAGUCAGUCAGUCAUGUGAAUUAGAUUUAUUUUUAAGCAAAGGGCUUAAAAUAAAUCUGGCAUUUACCCUAAAAUAAAUUUCCUAAACCCUGCUUGUCCUUUAUUUUAUUACCAUUUUUAGGUAUUCAUAGGAAUUUUGUUGUUUCUCAAAUUGAACAUUCUGUUGCUUUCCAUUUGGUCACACAUGAAAAAGUGCAGGUAGCUAAAACAGUACAUAAGUGGCACUUAUAAAGGUAAGCAGAUGGCAAAGCUACUAGAAAUGUAUGUGAAGCCUACAUUAACCUAUGAGGCUAUUGUGAUGUUUGUAACACACUUCCCCUUGUUUUUUACUAUUAGAUGAACUCUGUAUCAAGUUUGGGUUUUUUGAUUGUUUUUGUGUUUAGAGCUAGAGUCUUCCUGUUACUAGGCUGGUCUUCACUUGCUGGGCUCAAGCCAUCCUCUCUUUUCAGCCUCCCCAGUAACUGUACUAUGGACACACACCACCACACUUGGUUAAAUUUAGUUUUAAAUAAAAAUAAAAAGUCUCCUCCAUUAUAGGAUGGUAUCAUCUGACAUUAAAUUCCUUUCCAUUUAAAAAAAUUCUAUUGUUUAAUUGUGACUAAUCUCCUCAAAAGAAUUGUAGAUAUUUGAGAUCACCCUUAAAGUAUGUUAAAACUCCUAAAGUACAAUUGCAAAAUACUGAUGCCAUGUACAAAUAUUCUUCAUUGCUUUCAGUGUACGAACAUUUUUAGAAUAAAGUAUUAAACAUAACUUUUCUUUAAGGAGCAAGAGUAAUAGUAGAUGGUAUUAUAUUAUUACUAUAUAAGAAUCUAACAUUGUAAGCUGGGAAUGUAGGUCAGUAGUAGAGUGCUUGCCUAGCAUGUGUGAGGCCCUAGGUUCAAUCUCCAGCACCACAUACAUGCCAAAAAGAAUAUAGUAUUAAACAUAACUUUUCCUUAUGAGGCAAGAGUAAUAAUAUAUGGUAUUAUGCUAAUUCAGUAAAUGUAAUAUUAUAGUACUGAAUGUUUACCAUGUCUAGAUACUAUCCAUAUACUUCAUACAUAGUAUAUCAUUAAAACUUCAAAAAAGCUCUAAUAUGAUUGGACCUUUGCCACAGAUGGGAAAAUUGGGGUACAGAGAGCCUGGAACAGAGAAUCCAACUACAGGAUCCCUCCCCAAAACUACUGAUGUUAACACUAUCCUGCUCUAAUACAGGAACAUGAACUUGUAUUAUUUUGUAUUAACACAGUUUAAAUGAUUCCUUGUAACAGGGGGAAUUCCAGAAUUUGCAAUGUGGUCAAUAUGAUUAUAGUCCCUAGAAAAAGAUGUAAAAUGUUUUUAGCAGGUUCAGAGUAAAGAGGCCUUGACAGCCAGGCAUAAUGGUGUAUGUCUGUAAUCCCAGCUACUCAGCUACUUACAGGAGGAUUGUAAGUUUGAGACCAGCCUGGAUAACUUAACAAGAUUGCCUUACAGUGAAAAAGAAAGAAAGAAAGAACAGGAGAUGGGGUUCAUUAGUAGAGUACCCCUAGUUCAACCCCCAGCACAACACAUGCAACACACAAAAGGCCUUGACAAUGUUCAGUAACGCUGGAUUGACUAGAGAUUUAAACACUGGGUCCAAGAACAAGGGGCAGACCUUAGUGGAAUUUUCGUAACUUGCAGCCAAAUAAGAAUAAAGGCACUUAAUGCUUGCUUUAGUAGCAUUAUACAACUAAAACUGAAAUGAUCAGAAAAGAUUAUCAUGGCUAUGAUGGUAAGAUGAAAGGCAAAGACAUGAAAUGUUCUAUAUUUUGCACUGUCCAUAAGAUUAUUUGACAACCCCCCCAAAAAAGACAAUAAAUUUUCAUAAAGUUAACAGCUAUAAUUUGAGACUGUUCUUUAGUCUGAAGUUCUCUUUACUUUUUUUGAAAUAAACAUAAUUUUUCUUUAAGGAGCAUGAGUAAUAGCAGAUGGUACAUUUUUUUUCUUUCUGUUUCUCUCUGUGUGUAUGUAUACCAGGGAUUGAACCCGGGGCCUCAUACAUGCUAAGCAUGCAGUCUACCACUCUACCUCCUCAAACCUUGGUACUUUUUUUAAUAGUUGCCAGGUUAAAAAUUGCAGAGAUGGGCUGGGGAUAUAACUUAUUGGUAGAGCCCUUGUCCAGCAUGUGCAAGGGCCUAAAUUGAAUCCCUAGUACUGAAAAAAAUAUUUUACCAAGUUGGCAACUCUAUGCAAAUAUAUAGAUUAAAUUACUUAUAUUUUAGUUUUUCUGGACUUUUGAAUUCAGAAACCUGGAAUGUGUAGUUUAGAUAAGACUCAUGCUGGAACCUAAUGAAGACACUACAGUGCUGAAAGAAUAUGACAUAUUUGGGAGAGAUCAUAGAAAAAUUAGAAAGAUUUAGAUGUAUACUUCCACAUCAUAAAAGACAAUUAAGUUGAGCAUUCGUUUGCUUUUGGUUAUUUGGUAGGAAAUAAACUUGGUUUAAUGUUUAUGGAAUUUCUUUCAUAAAUGCUGAUGUGGGAGCUAUCUCCAAAGAUGGCCCCCAGUGGACCAUGUCUUGAUAUUCACACCCGGGUGGAGUUCCCUCCCACGCUAAAUCUGGACAGAGGCCCUAUGACCUCCUUUAACCAGUAGAAUACAGCAUAAAUGGCUCUAUGCCAGUAUGAGACCUAAUCUUUGAGAGUGUCUGGCAACUAACAGUUUUGUGCUGUGGGAAAUCAAGCUAAACUGAGAUCACCAUGGUAUGAAGAAACCCAAACUAACUGUGUAAAGAGAUCACAGGAAGGACAAUUGAGGAAUCCAGCAGACCUUUAGAACAGAGACCCCAGAUUUAAUGGCCCAUUCCAGCUGCCCCCAGCCUUUGAUGGCACAUGGAAUAAGAGGCAAGCUGAUCCCUGCAAGUACUGCCUACAGAGAAGAAUCAUGAACAAUAAUAAAAUUAUUAUUGCUUUGAACUAAGUUUUGGGGUAGUUUCUCAGCAAAAGAAAACAAAACAGUUGGAUUUCAGAAAAAAAAUCAAGUGAAUAUGAAGAGAGAUAUAUUGGGGAACAGCUUAUACUUUUUUUAUAUAACCAUUAUUAAAGGGUAUUGUUAAGGGAAUGACAGAUUAACUCACGUUAAUAUCUUUAGUUCAACAGACCCUCUGUGCAAAAGAAUUGUAAAAGCUUUUUAAAUAAAUUAGGGAAUGCGUCCAUAUUUUUAAAAUAAUUAUGAAAUUAUAUUCCCAUAUAAAGACUUUCUUUUUGUUAGUGGUGGCACUAGAAUUGAACCUAGAGGUGCUCUACCACUGAUCUAUAUCCUAGACCUUUUUUAUUUUAUUUUGAGAUAGGGCCUUGCUAAACUGCCCAGUCUGGUCUCAAACUUUUUGAUCCUCCUGUGUCAGCCUCCAGAGUCAGUGGAAUUCCAGGUGUGUGCCACCAUGCCCAGCUAGUGUAUAAACAUUUCUGUGCUGUCCCACAAACACUUAAAAAAUGCAGGUAUUUCCUAUAAAUUGCAAAUCAAUUGUUAUUCAGUGCCACAAAUUGCAUGUUAUUCCAAAAAUGCAUACCACAAAUGUGUUAGGAAUGUGAUGUGGCUAAGUUCCUAUAGAAACUUUAGCUAACAUUUCCAAGAAAAUAUGAUACUUAUUAUGAUUAAUAUAACUUCCCAAAGGGCAUUAAAAGUUUUUUAAUGUAGAACAAUUUUACUUGAUUCUGAACAACUCUGCUCAACCAAAAAUUGUGAGAAUUUAGGUUCAAUUCUGUUUCAAGAGGUUGGUUUUAUAUGAUUAUUAUUUACCCCAAAGCAUUUUAUUUGUAUAUGUUUUCCAGGUCUAAGAAGUAAAUCAGGAAGAAUAUGUUCUUUUUCUGAAGAGUAUUUCAUUUGAGCUGAGCCAAGAUUGUUUCUUUCCACAGAAUAUUCAAUCUUGGGAGUAAAUGCAUCUUGACAUUUUUAGAUCUACUACAGGCAAAGUUGGGGAUGCGGCCAUCUACAGCAAAGGAAAGUGUAGGGCACGCUAGGAACACAGAGCACCCUUAAGGCUUCUCCUGACUCACCCUGGAAUGUCUUCCUCCAACAUCUGUUUUUUAUUUCUUAGAAGCUGCUAUUCCAUUCAACUGCAAAAAUACUUGUAGUGACCCUAGAAAUAGAAUGGAGAAAUAGAGAGAAACAGAUUUCUGUAAAACAAUUACUUCUCUGCUUAUGCCAUUGCCAUCUUGAGAACUCUACUGCUACCAGCUCCAAAGUCCAAACAUGCAAAUGACUGAUAUAACUAUUUAUUCCAAGAAUAGGAACUGUUAUAUUUGUAGAGCCCCUGAGAAGGUACGUGUGGGAGGAAAGCCCAUGUAAAGGAGAUAAUAAUAAAUACACGAGCUGGUUACAUAGCCUUCUCAUUUUUUACAACAGCCGCCUAUCCAGAUUUUUUUCCUCCUGUCAUGCCACUGAGUUCCAAGGCCAAGUGUGCAUUCUGACCACUGCUUUUUAGAUUUUUACAGCUUCCUCUUUAGAGUCCUUCAAAUGGUAAAUUGCCUUUUUUGGCAAUGACAGGCUCUUCACCCAAUAUUUACUUCCCUUUUUUAUUUGCUACAAUUUUUAUCAUUCAUCUCAACUUUAAACUUCCAUACCAAACACCUGGAAAUAGGAAAAAUACUUGUUGCUGAUAUUACAUCAUUUUCCCCUUUCUGUCGUCAUUCAAACACCUCCUGAAAUAUAACAUCCUCCCUAAAAUCUUUAUAAUUGGAAUGGAGGCACCGAUUCCUCAUGCCUGCCCAUCAACUAUAAAUAUUACCCAUAUAUAUUUUAUAUAUUAUUUCUUAAUAACUAUGAUACUUUAUGCACUUUACCCCUUUUUUAUUUGUGUAUAAACACUGAUUGGAUUUGUACGUUGUAUUUAUGUUUUCUUCUUUGUUGCUUCAUACAUUCCCUAGGGCAUAGGCCAGGACUUUAAAAGCAAUAAUCAUGUUUUUCUUUUCAUUAUAAAAAUAGUACAUGCUUAUUUUUAAAAUUUUGGAAAAUAUGGAAAAGUAAGCAGAGAAUAAAAACCACCCAUAUUCCCACAACCCAAUUCCAAUCACUGUAGAUGUUUUGGUGGUUUUCUUUUAAUAUUUUUUUUUCUUUUCUGCAAACAUGUGUUUGUUUUACAUGGUAUUUCUCCACAUAUGUGUAUGUGUGUGGUGCAUAUGAGUUCCUUGUAUACUUUAUUCAGCUUAAAUAGUCUUAUAUUUACCUAAAUGUAAUUUUUAAUACCUGUGUAAUAUUCCAUUCCAGAAAUUUAGCAUAGUUUCUUUAACCAUUACUUUGUUCAUCUGUAAAUGGUGCUACUAUCUAAAGUGUUUUUUUCUUAAUUUAGAAUUAUUUCCUUAGAGGUGAUUCUCAGAAGUGUAUCAAAACAAUUUCACACUUUUAAUGUCUGUGUGGCUUUUAUCAUUCUCUCCCCAGCAUUGAUGUAUCAUUAUUAUACCUGAGAUCAUUGUAUUAAUUUUCAUAUGUUUGAUUAUGAGGUGGAAUGUUUUUUCCAUGUUUGUUGACUAGUUGUUUUUCAUUUUCUAUGCAUUAAUUUGCUUAUGUUUUGUUCCUACUUAUCAGUUGGUUCUUAAAUUUUUUCUUAUUGAUUUGUAUGAAUACAUAUGAAUAUAUGAUACUAACCUUUGUUUUCCUAAUUGCAAAUUUUUACCAACUUUUUCAUAUUUUUAAAAUUUUGAAUGUAUUUUUGACAAAAAAGAAUUCCCCUUUUAAAUUUCUGUCAAAUAUGUAACUUUUAAACGACAUUUCUUUUUUUCUUUUUAUGUUUAGACAGUCCUCCCGUCUUUGGAAAAUUUGAUAUGUAUUUACUUCUAUUUUCUUUGUCCCCCUAUGGUCCUGCCAAGAAUAAGUGUUCCAUAUAUUGUUUUUAAUUUGAAUUGGAAUGUAUUUUGAUAUUAUUGAAUAUGGUGAGAAUCUAACUGAACCGUUUCAAAUGCUAAAUAAUUCUGUUGACUCCAUUUAUUAAACAUCAGCCCUUUUCUUA